AACGAAUCCCAGAUCUAACUUCUGGCAACGCUGCAUACAACAGACGACGGAUUUUGCAGAAAUAAAACGCGUUCUUGGUUGCUCAUUCAUUGACCACCAACAGCAGCAGCACCAGACCAGGAGGCGGCGGCAGUAGGUCGGGCAGGCAACGUCAAGAAGAGAGCUGGGCCAGCCAGCGAGCGAGCGAACGAGUGAGUGAGUGCGAGUCAACGGCAACGACAAUAACAAGAAAGGCCCAAGCAAAGACAAAAACCAAAGUCAAAUAACAACGAGAAAGCAAAUCACGAAGGCGGCCCCCAUCAGCAGUAGCAGCAGUCAGCAGCAGCAGCAAAAGAAGAAGCGGAACCCAAAAA